CUUGCCUAGCUGACUACCAGCCACACAUCCCAGCUUGCUGAGUGGCAGCCCACAGAUCCUGCCAAGAGAAAAGAUCCCAUUUCUCCUCCUCUCCUCAGUGCAGCGUUCAUCCCCAGCUCACUGAAAAGCAUCCUGUUGCACCUCAGUGUGGAAAUCAUCUUUGGUUGGUUCAGGUUUCACCUGCAUCAAGUUUUUUACUGGGAAGCAGCAAGUCUCAAGAUCCAGCUCCAAUGUCACUUGUCACUUGUAAUGUCACUUAUAUACUUGCACCGUAGUCUGACAGCCUAAGUUAAAUAGUUAGGAUUAUCAGAACAUGAAUGUUUAUGUUUUCUAUCCUGAUUUACAUACAGCACUCCUGUAACUUCAGAAAACAUUAUCAACAGAGUUUGAUUAAAAUAUGAACAUUUAAAGAAGAG